AACUUGAAAGGGGGAGUUAAAAGAGUUAUAGAGUCGGAGAGAGAGAUAGAGAGAAACAGAGAGAGAUUUGUAAAAAAGAGAAGCAGAUGGCUGGGUGGGUGUUAUUGGAAGCGGCGCUGCCACUAGGAAUAAUCGCUGGUAUGCUUUGUAUCGCCGGCAACGCCCAGUAUUUCAUUCACAAGGCUGCCCAUGGACGGCCCAAGCACAUAGGCAACGAUAUGUGGGACGUUGCCAUGGAACGACGUGACAAGAAGCUCGUCUCCCCUUCCGAUUAGAUCGCCCGCGCUCUCGGUUUCUCUGGGAUUUUGAGUGGUCUUUCCUUUCAGUUAUGAGGAACUUUUAUGUGCUUGUAUGAAUAAAAGUGGGAUCAAUCAGCUGGACUUGAGGAUUAUGGAAUUAAUGUUAUCCUGCAACUUUACUUGAUGGAAUCCAUGUUUAGAAUUUGAUUAAAUACAAAGGAUUUUGAGUGAUUGUAACAUUUUAAGUCAGUCUUUUUUAUGCAUGUGUAGUCACAAUCAUGAAUUCUUUUUUACUACCGAAACAUAUGCUAGUUGAAGCAACUCUCAUUUCUAA